rnacentral:piRNA from 1 species
UAACACCUUUCAGUGACUAAGGGACUC